GCCUGGGUGGUUCAGUUGGUUAAGCAUCUGAUUUCGGCUUAGGUCAUGAUCUCAUGGUUCAUGGGUUCGAGUCCCAUGUCGGGCU
rnacentral:tRNA from 1 species